CUAGCAUAACUUAAAAAUGCGAAAAAUUAACCCCUCAUGGCGUAGCUGGGGGCCUGAAAUAUGAAAGCUAACCAUGUCAACAUGUGGAGAAGAUGGACAAGCAUAGAAGAAAACUUGAGAGUCCACCAAUAUAGAAACAAAACAAGACAUUAGGAGAGGUCGUUUGCCACGAUUCAAACGAUGGCAUGGAUGGUAAAGAUGCGAUAUUCUGAGCGGUGCACCAAUCUGGAAUGUCCAGUUUAGAGAUGCCGAGAACUUCACAAACUCUAGGUCGCUGCGUAUGGGCUCCAGCGCUUCUGCUAGCAAUGACUUCAUAAAGCCUCUGGACAAAGGUAAGUCUGCUUGUGAUGAGAAGUCCUCUCUCUCACUAUCGUCUUCUGCUUCAGAAUCUCCGUCUGUACCAGCCGGGAUAGAGGCCUGUCUGGCGGCGGCCAUCUUGGGCUCAAAACGUGUCCCGGAUUUUUUUAUAAAUUUGUCCAAAUCACCUUGGCUCAGGGCCUGUUUCGACUUCCCUGGAGUC